rnacentral:rRNA from 1 species
UAGGGAAUCUUCGGCAAUGGACGAAAGUCUGACCGAGCAACGCCGCGUGAGUGAAGAAGGUUUUCGGAUCGUAAAACUCUGUUGUUAGAGAAGAACAAGGACGUUAGUAACUGAACGUCCCCUGACGGUAUCUAACCAGAAAGCCACGGCUAACUACGUGCCAGCAGCCGCGGUAAUACGUAGGUGGCAAGCGUUGUCCGGAUUUAUUGGGCGUAAAGCGAGCGCAGGCGGUUUCUUAAGUCUGAUGUGAAAGCCCCCGGCUCAACCGGGGAGGGUCAUUGGAAACUGGGAGACUUGAGUGCAGAAGAGGAGAGUGGAAUUCCAUGAGUAGCGGUGAAAUGCGUAGAUAUAUGGAGGAACACCAGUGGCGAAGGCGGCUCUCUGGUCUGUAACUGACGAUGAGGCUCGAAAGCGUGGGGAGCAAACAGG